CUACUGUACCUCGUCCUAGAACUCGCUUCGGUUGCAGCGACUGCAGGUCUUAAAGCUGCUCUGAAAUGCGAGACGACAGCAAACAACAUUACAGCGAGCCGGACUGAGAGACGCGCUAUGACAACCUGCAGCUGAAGCCUCGCUCUGUCACUCUGGAAGUUUUGGUGGUGGGCAAACGCAGGCUCUGAGGUUUAUGCCGGGCCUCCCACUGGGUUAUCCUUGUGCUGGUCUGACAACAGAGUCGCACCCGGAGCGAGCUGACCUAUUUCUGUGAUGGGACUCCAGGAGGAGAGAGUUUAUAUGCGGUGUGAUGUGCUAUCAAAAGACCAAGUGGAGAUGGAGAUUUUACUACAGGGAUCUGAAUCUGCAACGUCAACUUAUGAUGCUGGGAUGCCCACGCAUAUUUCAACAAGAUAGUGCAAAACCACAUUCUGCACAAACUACAAAGUCCUGGCUGCAAUGGAAGAGAAUACAGGUACUUGACUGGCCUGUGUGCAGUCCUGACCUGUCUCCAAUAGAGAAUGUGUGGUGCAUUUUGAAGAGCAAAAUGCAACAACAAAAACCCUGUACUGUUGCCCACCUUAAGACUUGUUUGCAAGAAGAAUGGGGCAAAAUUACACCGGAAACACUUCUUUACUUGGUCUUCAGUCCCUAAAUGUCUUUUAGGUGAAAAGGACUAAGUGCUUUUUUUUUUUUUUUUUGCCAUAACAGGCAAUUGCAAUGAAAAUACAGAAGAAUAACUAUAAUGCAAACAA